CUAUAUGAUGGUUGGCUUAUCUGUAGGAUUGGGUUAGGUGACAUCACAACUUGGUUACUUUUUGGGUUGUAACAAUCAAAAAUUUGCUUAUCAUUUAUUUUAACUCAUAGAACUAAUUGAUCCUUGCCCUCAGAUUGAUAUUGGAUCGAACAUGUAUAUAUUUGCUCAGAAAUAUCCUAAAUUUUAUUUGAGUGACCUUCACAAAUAUCAGAAUUAUUAGAAGAACCUUCUAACUCGUCUUCACCAUCUUCAUCCUGCUCGACAACUUCAACAUUUUCAUCAUCUUCAUCUUCUCCAUCUCCUCAUCCUGCCAAGAAGUAUUUACAUCGAUGCUUUUAACUAAUUAAAAGACUGCAAAGAAGUCUUCAUACUUAGCACACCAGCAUAAUCAGUAGUUGUCAAUAGACUCAUAUGUGGUAGAGUAAUAAAAUGUGAUCUUUAUUGGACCUGUAAGGGAGUUUAUUAUAUACAAUAUGUAUAUAAGAUCAAGCUGUUCAAUGGACUAAUUAAAGUUCCACUAAAAGUAAGUUUUUAUAUUAAAGUUUAUAGUAUUCCUGUAGGCAUGCUAUGAAGGCUUUGGAUUUCCUUUUCCACUCGCACGCUUUGAAGUUCACUAACUUCACUUUUGUUGCAUGUUGAUGGAUCUUUAUGGAUCAUAAGGCAUAUUGGUUACCCAUAUUUUCUUCGGCAUAUUUUUUAUUACAAAAAUUAAUUUUACAAUUAAAAAUUGAAAUAUAAAUUUAGAAAAAUAAAUAAAUUCAGUUCCACCCACCAACUAAAAAUGGCAUUAAUCGACCAUAGGUUUCUUAAUAGAACUUAGGUCACGCCAACUACGACAUUUGAAAAUACAGAACCCUAAAAUAAAUUAACUGGGAAUAAUAUUCACCCUCCAUAUAAGAUCUAGUUUACAAAACCAACUACAAAUAGCAGCAACACAUGCAUUUCACUUUAAAAAAACUCUCCUUUUAAACCUAAUUCAUAUAGACUUUUAAGAAAAUACAAAAGAGACAUAUACAGUUACCUAAAAAUUAUCUAGCUCAGAAUAACGAUACUGUGUUGUGGGGUCUAUAUAUACACGAGAGAGUCAAUCGUAAACUAUUUUUAGUCCAAAAUUACUAUUUGGUACACUAAAACAGACGUGGUGGAGUGAGUUGUGGAGAGAUGAUAGCGGGAGUUCGAGAGGGUUAUGUUAAGUUUUUUUAAACUUGACCAGUUUCUCGCGAGUUUUAAAAAUGUUAAUUGGCUCAGGAGCAACCUUAAGCCCUUAAAUUGGAUGCUAGCAAUUUUUGGGCCUAAAGUAGAAGAGAAAAAAUUCAAAAUAUUUUUAGUUAAAUUAAUUUUUUCGGUCGUCAGGUAGCAUUUUCUCUCUACUAACUUGUAUUAACAGAUAGGCUAAGGACUUAAUUGCCAAUAAAAUCUUAGCCACUACACUAAAGUCAGUUUUUUAUUACGACAAACGAUUGCGAUGGUAUGGAUAAGGUCCUUCCACCCUUAGGCAGAGGUUUCGAGUUAGAGCUUUGAAUAUGAAAAAAUCCUAGUAGAGCACUUUUCUCUUUAAUGAACUUUACUUUAUAGGGUAAAAUAUGCUAUGCUAGGUGGCCUCUUAAGAGAAUGACACGUGGAACCUAAGGCAGGAGAUUGUAACGACCCGACCGGUGGUUUUGAGCAUUUGCACUUUACUCGCCAGUUCUCGAGCAUGACUAGUCACAUAUGAUGUAUUAUGACUUAUGUAAAUCGUCGGUUUUGAUUUUCAGGUUAAUCGGAAUAGAUAUGAAGAAUGAUUCUCAACUUGAAGCUUUAAAUUUGAAAGGUUUGACCCAGUCUUGACUUUUUAGUAUUCGAUCUUGAAUAUGGAUUUUUAUGAUUUGGUUAGCUCCGUUGGGUGAUUUUGGACUUAGGAAUGUGUUCAGAAGGAAAAUUGGAGGUCCGUGGUAGAAUUAGGCUUGAAUUGACGAAAUUAGAAAUUUGGCGUUUUCUGGUCGGUAGUGGAAAUCUUGAUAUCGGGGUCGGAAUGGAAUUCCGGAAAUUCGAGUAGGUCCGUUGUGAAUUUGUGACAUGUGUGCAAAAUUUCAGGUAAUUCGGAUGAGGUUUGUUAGGUUUUGGAUCAGUUGCGGAAUUCAGAAGUUUGGAAAUUCUUAGGCUUGAAUUUUAGGGUGAUUUGGUGUUUUGAUGUUGUUUUGAGUGUUCCGAAGGAUGGAAUAAGUUUGAAUGGUGAUAAGUGACUUGUUGGUACUUUUGUUUGAGGUCCUGGGGGCCUCAGGAUGAUUUUGAAAAGAUUGAACUUGAGAAAUUGCAACUGGUAUUGCUGCUUCAGUCAUAUCCACACCUGCAGAUUGGGGACUGUAGGUGCGAGCUCUACAGGAGCGGAAGAGAGACGCAAGUGCGUGGAGGACCGCAUGUGCAGCUUGGUAAACCGCAUCUGCGAUGCCGCAUGAGCGGUGAAGCAACCGCAGAUGCGAGGCCUGGUAAGGUUAAGUGAAAUCCGCAGAAGCAGAUAUUUUCCGCAGAAGCGAAAGCGCAGGUGCGCUUAUGGGAUAACAGGUAUGGAAUCCCUGUGUCAGAAAGUAUAUAAGUUCUACUUCAUGAAUUUUGGUCAUUCUUCCACCAUUUUUGGUCGAUUUUGGAGCUCCAAACAGUGAUUCAAGGGGGAAUCAAGUGUUUUCAGUGAGGUAAGCUACUUGGACCUUGUAUCUUGUGUUUAUGACAAUUAUUCCCUUGCUUAAUCAUGAUAUUAGUGGGAAAAUUUGAGAAGAAAUUGGGAGAUUAGGGCUUGAAAAUUAGAGAGUUUAAAUUGAGGAUUUGAGGGGCCAUUUGAGGUCAGAUUUUAAUGAUUUUGGUAUGUAUAGACUCGGGAGUGAAAGGAGUUUCUAAUUUUGCGAUAUUUGUUGGAUUCCGAAACGUGGGCCGGGGGGUGGGUUUGAUCAAAUUCGUGAUUAUGGAUCUAAUUUGAUAAUUUUCGUGUGGGUAUUGUUCCUUUGGCAUAUAUUGAUGACAUGAUUAUGAUUUUAAAUAGAUUCCGGGCGAUUUGCGGCCGAGUCGAGAGACAAGAGCAUCGCGAUGUAGAUUUUCAUCCAGUUUGAGGUAUGUAAUGAUUGUAAAUAUACUCUUGAGGGUAUGAAAUCUAGGAAUUUCGUACUAUUUUGGUAAAUGAGGUAUAUGCGGCGAACUUAGAGGGUCCAAUUUCUUGCUGUUAAGUCACUUCGGAAGAACACCUCGAGGCCUCGCGAGGACGCGAAGUUGUGACUGAGUUCCCUCCUUUGAAGCUCGUUAAGGUCUGACCCGAAAAGAAUAUUGAUCGAGGCUAGAGCAAAAUAGGGGAUUCCCUAGGCCCGCGUCUAAGUCUGACAAAACCGGUCUGCCCGGAGCAUGUACCAAGGUGUCACAUCUAGCCGUCCCAUCUCCACACCUUUACAACUAAUGCAAUUUUGUACUAUGUUGGAUUUCCCCUCCUAUAUAAAGGGGAUCCUCAUCACUUUGUAAGAGGUUGCUGUUGCUCCAACUAUUCUACAAGAAAUAUAACAACUCUCUCUUUUUUCUCUCUAAUAUAUUUUCCCGACGCUAUUGAUUAGUAUUCUCAUAUUUGUUCUUCAUUUAUUGCUUGUAGCCAUAUAGAGCCUCCCUUGAUUAUAUCCUAACUGUUAGCCCUUCCCCGAUUACCCCCGAUAGCUCGAGCCCAGGCAUCGACCUCAAGGUCUCUCAUCGAUCAGUCCGAGGCCCGAAUAGCUACCCCCUCAGUUUGAUUAUAACUCUGCUUUAGUUUGUAUUUCGCCGUUAAGCUUCACAUAUCGAGCAUCAACUGCUUUAACAACUAGCAUAAAAAUAGAUCACGUAUUUUUAGAGUCCCAUUAACAAAUUUAAUUGUUAUUAUCAUUUUCGCGGUAAACAGUUUGACACCCACCGUGGGGCUAAAAAUAAUAGUGAUUAUUUUCUUGUUGGUUUCGUUACGCAAUACAAGUUAUCUUUCACACUUUUUCUUGUCCAAGAUCUUCGAUUUCAGGUUAAAAUGUCUGGCUUAGUGAAUAGAGUUGAGAACGAAAACCUCGAAAACCAUGGAGAAAAUGGGGUGGUUGUUCCAGUUGUUGGCGUGCCACCAUAGAACCCCGAUAAUGCACCAAGACCGAUUCCAACGAACGCAGAUUCGCAGUACGAGCAUCAGGGCGACGAAACCUCAUGCACCGACAUGAGCAAACAACAUGGCGACCAAUAAGAAGCCCAAAAAACUCCAGCUCGGGAAGAACAGGAAUUUAGUCUUCAUGUUAUUUUUGGAAUGUUGCAGGCACAACAGUUGGUUGUCGCUCAGCUGCAAAGCCACCCGAAGACUCCCAGGAUAGUAGCACCGGAAACUACUCCGUCGGCCGAACAGGUACCGGAGAGAUCGAGCAACAACGGAUCAGUAGUCGAUCCUGCCAUCAUAAAAAUGCUGGAAGACCUUACCAAAAGGAUCGAGUCGGGCGAGAAAAUGAUAGCAGCCAAUGACAAGAAGGUCGAAACCUAUAACUUCAAGGUCGAUCAAAUCCCGGGCGCACCCCCGGUCCUAAAGGGUGUAGAUUCGAAGAAGUUCGUACAAUGGUCGUUCCCAGAGGUUAAGAAUGCCAGAACUCCCAAAGAGGUUAAGAAUGCCAGAACUCCCAAAAUACAACGGGACCUCAGAUCCCAAUGAACGUGUCACUACCUAUACGUGCGAGGUGAAGGGCAACGACAUGAAAGACGACGAGAUCAAGUCCGCCUUACCGAAAAAGCACGGAGAAACGCUCUCGAAGGGGACCAUAACGUGUUAUCACAACCUAGCUCCCAACUCCAUAGAUUCAUUUGCCGUAUUAGCAGAUUCCUUCAUAAAGGCACACGUCGGUGCCAUCAAAGUAGCGACGAGGAAGUCCGAUGUAUUCAAGAUUAAGCAGAGGGAGAAUGAAAUGCUGCGAGAAUUCAUGUCUCGCUUCCAAACAGAACAGAUGGAACUACCCCCGGUCUCCGAUGAUUGGGCGGUGCAGGCCUUCACUCAAGGCCUGAAUGAGCGAAGCUCAGCGGCCUCAAGGCAGUUGAAAGAGAAUCUGGUCGAGUAUCCCGCCGUAACCUGGUCGGUCGUCCACAACAGGUACCAGUCAAAGAUCAAGGUCGAGGAUGACUAGCUUGGAGCCCCCUCAGGUUUAGUAUAUCCGAGUUGACUCCUGGCGAAGGACUCGAAACCGAACAAAGAGAGGUACCAGCCAUACCCCAAAGAUAGAAGGAACAUCCCAAGAAGCAAUCCGCAUCGCAACAAUCGAUUGGUGAACCUAAGAUAGAACCCUUGGAGAUUCAUCAGCCGGGGCGUAUUCGACGAGGACACUAGGCCAACGAGGGCACAUCACCUAUCAGCAUACAACUCCAAGAUCGAUGAACAUGACAUCAUGCUCAUCUUAAGCAAAACCAGGGACACCGAAUAGCCCGGGCCUAUUAGGUCGGAUCUUUUCCAAAGGAACCACAACAUAGUAUGUGCACUUCACAAUACGCAUGGCCAUAAGACCAUAGAUUGCCACCAGCUCCGAAAGGAAAUAGCCAGGUUACUCGAUAAAAAUCACCGCCGAGAAAUUUUUAGCAAUUGGGCUAAAAUCCAGUUCCGAGAAAGAGAGGCGGCCAAGAAGAACAAAGCAAAUGAAUCACGACACGUUAUCCACGUGAUAUUAGAAGGGCUUCGACACUCCCCAGGAACCCUCGACGAGGAUGACAAAAAAUAUCCAUCACCAGAGAAAGACGAACCCGGGGAUACAUACUCGAAGAUGCCCUCGCGUCUAGUGAGGAAGACUCCGAGACCUCGUCCCAACCUCAUAACAACACACUGGUAACCUUUUUUUCAUUUGUUCAUUUCGAAUAAAACAUGUGCUCGUGAAUCCAGGUAGCCCGACCAACAUUAUCAAGUCAACAGUAAUAGAGCAGUACGGACUACUAGAACAAAUAGUGCCCGCCUCUUGAAUCCUUAACAGAUUCAACAUGGCAAUCGAAACAACGAAAGGGGGAAACCACUCUCCCAGUCGGCGUGGCCGACACAGUCCAAAAUGCCAAAAUUCCAUGUCGUUGAAGGAGACAUGAAACACUACGCCUUAUCCGGACGACCAAGGAUACACUGCAUGAGGACGGCACCAUCCAUCCUCCACCAAUCGAUGAAAUUUAUGACGGAGGAUGGGGUUAAAACCAUCUACGGGGAACAACGUGCGGCAAGGGAAGCAUUCGCAUUACGUAACGUAGCGCCGACACCAAUAUCUCCAUUCUCGAAAGAGUCAAAGGACAAUCGAACUACAUCCUCGACUAAGCCCGAUUAAACACAGCGAAGGACUAUACCAAGUCCUCGCUCAAAAACAGUAGGGACACAUCAAACCUCGGAACAUCACCGACGUGCCCCACGAUAAGGUAAGAUCACCUCCCUCUUUCAUUAUCUUACACUAACCCAUAUACAGGCGCCUGGUCAGGGCGGUCGAAAGUGCUAACCCAACCCGAAGAUCUCAAGGCCUUAACGGCAUCCGUUACACUCUUUUCCUUCUGUCGAGCUUUUGUUCCAGAGAGGGUUUCACCGGCAGGGUUUUAACGAGGCAACGUUCACACGCUUCCUAAGGAGGAUCCGACAAGCGUGCAAGGCUUCUUUUGCGAUCAACCCCGGACACUGGAGGGCACCCCCUUGAGAGGUCAUCCACUCGGAAGAACCGGGGAACAAUAAACAAGGUUCCAAAAGGAAAUGAUGUACCGGGCCAAACGGUUAAAUAAACCAUGUCCGCAUGAGCCAGGAUCACGACAACAAAACAACGUGUACUUAUACCAAACAAUCAAAGAAUAUCUUUUGCUAAAAGCAUCUCGUACUCCAAAGAAAAUUCAGCAUUUUCACAGCAAGGAUCGCUCCAUCGAGAACACCCCAAAAUAUUCGGAGACUAGUGUCAAUAACUUGCCGCCCGAACAGCCUCAGGGUCGGGACUCCAAACUCGUACGCCCUCAACGAGGCAGCACCGAAAUUACGAAACAUCUCCAAAAAAAGGAAAAUUGUCCCGAACACUCAGAGACUGGCAUCACAAACUCAGAAAGCGCAUGACCCUAGGGUCAGAAUCUCAAAAGUCAUAAGCCCUCAAUAAGGCAAUUCCGAGCUCACGAGUAACGACCCCCGAGCCUAAGCAUACUCGAUGAGAUGGAGACAGUCGCCAAUCGCCAUUCAUUUAAAAAACUCGAGGCCAUAAGACCCCGAGCGGGCAGACUCGAUCUAGUAAGACCUAUUUAAGGCAACAACUGAAACUGUAAGACCUCACACAAGGCAUGAAUCAUACUUGUACCAAGUAUCAACUAAAUUGUAAGACCUCAAAAGGCAUGAAAAUUUUGUAAGACCUUACUACAUGCAUAAGCUCAAUCCCGAAGUUUAGGCUAUACAUCGCAUUUGUAAGACUCCCGAAAGGACAUACCCUCGAUGUAGAUGCCUAAACUACUAUACUCGGGAUCAAAAAUGGCUCCGGCCAAACAAAAAUGACUACGGUCAUACGGCUAUACAAGCCAAAUUUACGCGACUCGGGGACGCCCGACCAUCGCUACAAAAUCAUAGGCCAUUACUUUGAAUCUACAUCGAAAAGAACCGGUUAAACAGGCUACCCUCGACAGGCAAAAAAUCUUCAACCAUGUCAGCUCCAAAUCACAAGGCUUUGAGCUACUCAGCCUACGAGCUAAACCUUCUGAGGUGCUCGAAUAUCGCCGCAAACGACUUGAAAUCGAGGUUCUUCCCGAACUGACGACGGGUCAGGCAAAAUCAUUUUGAAAAGUCCUUAACGAGAGGAAAACAAAGCCUACAUAGUCGCCAGCCUAACGAGCCUCAAGGCCACUCACUAAAAGGUCGCAACGACCAAAAGCGUAAGAGCCACUGUCGCCAGCUUAAAAUUUGAAAGCUUGAGGGUCAAAAUGAGCUCGAGUCGUAACCCGAUUUGGAGACUGGAUCCAAAAUAGUUAGCUAUACAUGCCUAAGGGCAACGCGUAAGAGUCAUCGUCACCGGCUUUAUGAGCCUUAGGGCCACACACAUAAAAGGUCACUUUGACCCAAGACGUAAGAGCCAUUGUCGCCAGCCCACACAAACACAGAACUUGAGGGUCAAUUAUGCUCGAGUCGAAAUCCGACUCGGAGACUGAACCAAAAAUAGUUAAAAUACAAAUGCCCAAGUGCAAGGCGUAAGAGCCAUUGUCGCCCGCCUGUGAAGACACAAAAGCUUGAGGGUCAAAUGAGCUCGAGUCGAAGCCCGACUCGAAGACUGAACCCAAAAUAGUUGAGCAAGAACGUAAGAGCUCCAAAGCCAGCUUAUACUAAAGGUUGCAAUGACCGAGCGCGUAAGAGCCUCCAGGCCUGCCUAAUGAGCCCUAGGUCCAUAUCACGAAUCUAAGGAUUCUCACCAACUCUGAAACUAGUCUACCCGGUCAGAAGCAAAGUAGAAAGGGGUACAAAAGAAAUGAAACCUCAAGUUUUUCUUUUAUUUACAAAUGUGAAAAAGUGCAUUCUCCAUCUACAAACACGAUUUGAAGGUAUCACAUGCAAAAUGGCAAAGUCUAUGCCUCGCCCUUGAGGGCUACAACCUGCCAGCCUCAACUUCACUCUCUUCGGCAUCGGACAGGAAUGACUGAGCAUCACGCUCGUCCGCCCUUGCUCGCGCCAGCUCUUCCAGGAGAACAAAACCCCUGGCAUCGAUCUCCUCGAGAACCCUUCUUUGGGAUUUGCAACGAGCAUAUUCCUUGAUCCUCUCUUCACGAUCGAGGACCCUCUUCAACUCGACCUGGGCAUCGGUAGCAUCUUUCAAAUAAAUUGCCAUCUCUUGAUCAGCCUUAGUCCAGCUCAGUGCGGCUUUGGUCAGAACAUCAACGAUCUCAGCCCUGACCUUCAAAAUUUUAGAUUCGAGCUUCGUGAUCAUAUCCGCUUGAAUUGAAGCGUUAUCAUGAGCUAAGCAGAGUUGGACCUAGAAGGUAGGAACUUGAGACAAGGCACCUUUCUCCUCUGAAGCUUGAACCUGCGCUUGGGCUCUUAGCUCGGCGCAGCUAUUCCUGAUUCAGUCGGCUUCACCCCUGAGUCAUUCCAGGGCCUCCGUCUUUUUCUGCAACUGGGAUAGACGAAGAGUUAACCUAAGAGGUUAAGAAGCAAAAUGCAUACCUGCCUGGAACAAAAGUUACCUGCUCCAUCAAAUAGCUCUCAUAAUUCGAGCUCCGGUACGCCUCAUAUCGCCAGUGUGUCAACUCAGCUUCUUUCUCCUCGCAAAGGAGCCCAAUGGACUUACCCUCAUCUAGAGCUUUCCAGAACCUAGCCCCAUGAUGGAGCAUCUCAGACCUAAGCCCACCAAAAUCCUGCAAAAGAAAAACUCUUUAAGGAAUGGAGAACGCGAUAUUUGGAAGGCCUGUGCCAAAGCUCACCGCGAAGUGAAGUUGGCGGACUUCCUCGAAGGCCGAGCACACCCCCAUUAAUUUAGUCCCCUCUGCCAUAGAAGAAUCAAUCCUGGUCAAAGCGUGAUCGCUCGGAGGAACCUCCUCUCCAGGAUCGGAGACUUCGAGUACAGAAGGCUCGGACGAUGUUUCUUCCUCAAAGACUCGACUCUGUUUCGCCCUGCUGUGAGCGCCAUCGCACUACAAAUGCAUAUCCCAUUUAUCAUUGUCAUCCUUUAGCUCGAAAGCUGGCAACCCCUCCCCUUCUCCGAAAGAGCACAGCCUCACCCUUGGAGACCCUCCGAUACCUACAACGGCAAAAUUAAUACAUUACAAAGGGGAAAAUGUCUUCCCAAUUGUGCGAGGGACAAGGUAAAAGCGGCAUACACACAUACCAUGAUACUUUGCUUCCCAUCUGCCCCGGGACAUGGCUCGCCACCUACGCUUGUCACAGAUCGAAUGGGUCGCCAACUUCGAGACCUAGCCAGGCAGAUAAGGAACUUUGCCCGGCGCCCAUGAAAUUGCUACAGGAAAGGAGGAAACACGAUUAAUAAACUAGCUUUCGCCAUGAGCAAAUCUGAGAAAGCACGAGGCGCUCCACUCACGCGUAUAAUUCCAUUCCUCGAGGAAUGGCAUAAGUUCCACAAGGAUAACGUCAGUCGUCUGGACCCGGACGAAUCGACUAGCCCACUCUCGAUCUCUAUCUUCCUCGUCAUUAGCAACAAAGGGCAUGGACGAACGACACCACAAGGUUAGCAGACCUCGAUGAUGAAAGGGCCAGUACAACCUGACAAGGUGACCGAGCGUGAAUUCAAGCCUCGCCUUCUCUGCAAAGAACCUCAUCAUCAGCACUAUUCACCAAAACGACAGAUGUAUCUGCGCCAAAGUAACCCGAUACAUUAAAUAGAAAUCAAGCACGACCCUAUAAAGGGGCCUAAUGUGAAAGGGUACAAGUACACGUUCAGGAAUCCAUCGGCAAGGUCCGUGAUACCCUCAUUCGGGGGAAGCGCUUGCAACGCUACCCUCUCACCCCAUCCAUAGUCUCUCCUUACUAGCUCUAGGUGCUCCUCUCUUAUCGAAGACAUAGUCUUCAAAGUAAACUCCCGUGGAUCCUGAGCACUAGGAGUAGAACUCUCCCCUCUCUACCGGGCAGACCCUAAAGUAGCAGUCAUGGCUAUAGUGGAACUAGCAAAUUGAAGCAGGAACCUACACAAACGCUUUGGAGCUAAGGUAGCGAAGGACUCGAUGCCGAAACGGAAGGAUAGCUAUCUAAGAUAAUGGGAUCUCCCAAGAAGCGGGAGCAACCCCAUAUAUAUAUGGGGAAACAACAACGGUCCGCCUACCCAAGUUAGGCCCAGGAGGGCAACGACUUCAAUACGGGUUCCGAGGUCGUACCCGACCUCGAGGACCUCCAUCGAAAAGAAGUAAGGCUUCAAAAAACCAGCCACAUCAUCUCCAGUUCCGAGGUGGUACCCCACCUUGAGUUUUCCUCUCAAGGAGAAAAGUAAGCACUUCGAGCUCCUUAAAAGGUUAUCUACAUCAAAUUCAAAGUAAAUCUCCAAUUGCUUGAAGUUGCCCUUCACUCAGAGGCCGCUCUCAAAAUUUCGAGGUUCGAUGCUCUAUCUCCACGAGACUCGAGGCUCCCAAUGACCUAAUCCUAUCAAACCACUUCAGGCUUGGUCCUAGAAAUAGUAGUAGGCUCGGAAAGGAGCCAUAUAUCAACUAAAGACCAGAAGGAAUGCUUGCACCGAAUUAGAUAUUGAUGAUCGUCAACAGAAGUAAACGUACAGAAUCCCCGCAAGUGCACAAAAGUAUACAAGAAUAUGACAAGUAUCAAAGGUAGAAGUCAAGAAAACAUCUUUGUAUUUAUAAACAUUUAUAUACAACGGCCCUCGAGAGGUCCUUACAUAUGAUUACAAAAGCCCGCAAAGGGUCUAUGCACAGAAAAAAAAGAAGCAAAGAGGUGCACGCAUAUAGUGAAAGCCGAAGGACCUAGUCUACCGUCUAAAGUUCAUCUCCGAGCGCUACCUCCUCGAGCUCGCAUUCUCAAAGGCAACUCCUACGGCCGCCACCUCCUCUAGGUUCCUAGCUCGAUCCCUUGGAAUAACAUCGCCGAGGGAGAAGAUGAAGAAGAGACAAGGAGGAGGAUGCAGAAGAGGCAGAGAAAACAGACAUAACCCUCCGAAGCCAAAGGUUGAAGAUUCGGCAGACCCCAGCCUCAAUGACCAGUUGUGCCAUUUUAUCCCUUGGGAGAAAAAACCCAAGGGAUGAAGUGCCACACCAGUCCAGGGUAGGAGAGUGAGCAGCGGUAUAUAGUCUGAAUACUCUACCGAGCAACGGUGUAGAGUCCAAACGCCCUUUUAGAUCAGAGGUCGACAGUCGCCCCUAUAUCAUUAUCUCGAGCCAAUAAGGACAGUAGUAGCAAGUGUCACACCUACUUUUUUACCACCCAAGAGGAGAUACAAGGGAGCUUUUCCAAUUAAAGUGACAUUAAUCGAAAUGGGAUUAAUUUAUUUAUCAGAGUCGCCACUUGGAAUAGUUUAUUUGGUGUUCCAAGUCACCAAUUUAUUUUAAAAAUCCCAAUCGAGGAAAAUCAGUUUUAUUUAAAUGUCUGCGAAACCAAAAAUUCUAAGUAAGGAAUUCUGUUAAUCCGGGAAAAGGUGUUAGACAUUCUUGGGUUCCGUGGUUCUAGCGUGGUCGCUUAAACCAUUGAAAUUGGUCUAUUAUCCGAUUUAUUACAUGUUUUAGCCUAUGAUGCCUUUUUAGCUUUAGAACCACUUUUAAUUAAUUUAAACCGCUUUUAGGAUUUAUGGAUUUAUUUAUUUUGAACAACUUACGAUUGUAGUACACUUGUUUGUUUUGGAACAAGUCGCAAACUACGCUACAUGAAAUGCACCCGUGAUUCGCGACAUGUUUUAUUAAACAUUGUUGAGAACUGAAAUUGGGUCACAUAAAAUGUACACCCGGAUUUUGUAAUUAAAAAUCACAACUACAUUACGGGAACCAUACCCGUAGCUAUGAUGAAUUAUUUAAAUAACGUGCCCAUAGAAACUACGAAGAUUCAAUUUUCAAUAACAACAUUUGUGAGGGCAAUGGAUGAUUUAAUUUAUUUAUGACACACCUCAAACCUCUUUCUAUAAGUGUUAGUUCCUGAAUCUAAUCUUAUGAGGGCCAUGGAUUAUAAAUUUUUUUUGGCAUGGCACGUCUCAAAUUAUUUCAAAGGGUUUUAUUAUUCGAAAUUGUUAUAAUCGGGUCACAUGAAAUGUACCCCAAAUUUGGGAAUUAGGUAUCAUGACUAUGUCACAGGAACCGUACCCAUAAUCAUGAUGAUUAUUAUUAAUCGCGCCAAAAGCAACUAACGCGUUUGAAUUAUUUAUCUUUACAUUGAGAUUAUUAUUCAAGAAAACCCAUUGAGACAACAGAAAGAUCUAUCAAAUUUCCUUUCAAAGGAAUUCAAGCAAAUCAGAUUUCACAAAAACCAAAGAAUCCAUUCUAAUUACGAAGACGGGUUGCAAGAACUGAAUCAAAAUUCAUGUAAAUCAUAUGGAGAAAUGGAGAUACACACAUGAAUGCAGCUUACCAAUCAAUUUCGCCGGAGAAAUAAGAAGCUAGGAGUUCAUAUCAUAAAACGUAAUAAACUACAUCUGAAAAGUACUAAUACCAUGAUUCCAAUUAUACAUAUAACUUCCGGAUGAAUUACUGAUGCCCUUAAAGCUCUUUUGGCUAUAUUCACUAAUCUCCUUUGGUCUCUAUUACCAAUGAUAGAAAAAAACGAAACAGAAGCUUAAGCAUUCAACUAAUUUGAACCAUUUUUAUCAAACAAAUAUUCAGGAAUUAAAGAUGAACUACACAUAUAAAGGAAACUUUAAAUUAGUAGUGUUGUGCAGUUCCUUGUUUAGGCCUUUUAGCACACAGUACAGUAGUAGAAAAGGGUUCCAUUGAAGUAACAAACACUAAUCUCCCCUUUUGUUCCACUGAUAGUGAACAACUUCUUAACACGUGAAUCAUUAUUUAAACAAUGCAAAGUUCCAACAGUGAGCUAUUCUUGCCAACAAAUAACACUAAAAGAACUUAAUUCACCCGAACAAUAUUGCAAAACAAACUGGAGAUUCAAGUCAUUUUUAACAGCCAACAAAACAAUUUUGAGUAAUCAAGCACAAAUUUAACAUAGAGCAGCAGAUCACAUCUUCAUAUCAUUGAUUCAAACAGAAGGUUGGACAUGAACAUAUCUAAUUGCAUAGGAAUAACAGAAUUUUGACCGAAACGAAAAUCAAAAGGGAAAGGAUUGAUCCUAGCUCUUGUUCGAGUGAGAAGCAGCAACAGAACAUCAAAAUAGCCCAGGAAAUCACCUCAAAACCCAGGUCGGAUUCAGUCAAUUUCUAAUUAACGAGACGCCAUAGAAGAGAGGUCGGCAGACAAACAACAUCAACAACAAACAACAACAGCUCCUUUAAAUUUUCAGAAGUACCAAAUGGAGGAGCAAGGCUGAAACGCAAAGAAGCUUGAAAUCCAAAGAAAAGGUCGAAUGAGUUACCGGAAAAACCACUCGUUCGCCAAUAAAGCAGACUUCGAGCUCUAAGGAUUCAUAAGGGGUCCGAUGACUGGCCGGAUUUUUUGCAUUGACUCGUCGGAGAUGAAGCAAAAAAAAUGACGGAUGUAUAGAUUUUGGAGUAGAAGGCUCUAUUCUUGUUCUAACUCAAGGAUUAGGUGGGUUUUUAGUGAAGAAGAAGAGGCCUAGCUUAAAGGGUGUGGAGGAAAAAAUGGAGAUCAGGGGUGUUCUUUGGUUGUCAUCUGAAGAAGGAGCAGAGGCGUGAGGGUGUGAAGAAGAAAAAGUUCCGGGGGGGGGGGGGGGGGCUCAGAUCCGCCGUUUGUCUGUGUAGGAGCCUUAGGUCUUAGGUUAUUUAAUGUGGAGGGGGGUCUGAUUGGAUAGGUGGGUCGGGUCAGGCGGGUUUGGGUAGGGAAAUUGGGAUGAUUGGUGGGCUUGGGUAGGGAUUUG
rnacentral:lncRNA from 1 species